GUCUACGGCCAUACCACCCUGAACGCGUCCGAUCUCGUCUGAUCUCGGAAGUUAGAUAUAUAUGUGUGUGUGUGGGGGGGGGAUAUACAUAUAUACACACACGCAUAUAUA
rnacentral:rRNA from 1 species